UAACAGCUCCAGGAAUACCAUCUA
rnacentral:piRNA from 2 species